rnacentral:rRNA from 1 species
CGCCUACGGGGCGCAGCAGUGAGGAAUAUUGGUCAAUGGGCGCAAGCCUGAACCAGCCAAGUCGCGUGAGGGAUGACGGUCCUAUGGAUUGUAAACCUCUUUUGUCGGGGAGCAAGGCCCGCCACGUGUGGCGGGAAGGAGAGUACCCGAACAAAAAACAUCGGCGAACUCCGUGCCAGCAGCCGCGGGAAUACGGAGGAUGCGAGCGUUUUCCGGAUUUAUUGGGUUUAAAGGGUGCGUAGGCGGAAGGUUAAGGCAGCGGUCCAAUAUCGGUGCUCAACAACGGCCUGCCGUUGUAACUGGUC